rnacentral:lncRNA from 1 species
AGACCUACAAUCAUUUUAAUUUUUGUAUUCAUCCUAGGGUUUUUUUUUUUUUUACUAGAGGGUGGAAUAUAAUAAUGUAAAGGUGACGAAGACCAAGCUAAGAAUGCAUCUGAUGAGUGGUAUGAUGAAGAAGCCUGCUUUGGCAGUUGAAUUAUUAGUUCCAGUCAUUUUCUCACUGUGUUGUCGUAGUGCUGUGCAUCUACAUCUCUACCACAGCUUCAAGGACUUGAAGUGGUCAAUGGAACGUCAGUGGAUGUGAUGCUCUCAGAGACUCGGGUGUCUGUGGAAGCGACCCACAUGAUGAGAAUGUGCUGCGGGUAGCCAUUGCCCAAACCCUGUGGUCCAGAAGGAGAUGUGUUGGGCCAGAUCAUGUCCUGAAGCAGAGGACCAACACAGGCCAGCUGAACUGCAGUUGAAACCGUGAGUGACCUCCAGAUGCUCAAGUGUGAUUACAAAGACAUGUAACCACAGAGGUGGGGAUGGUAUGUUAUCUAACAUUAUCACAGCACUAGGACUGCCACAGGGACUGUAUCUCCUCUCAUAGUCUGUGCUCAUCAGACUGAACUUAUUUAAGCCUUUGUGAUGAUUGGAUAACGGAGAGAAAAAAAACUCCUAAAAGUGCCUGUCUUGGUUACUCUGGAGAAGUUCAUUUGCCUUUUUCUUAAAAGUCACAGUGAUGAGCAGCAACCCUUACUGCUGUCUUUAGUAUUGUUCAAACAUUUCUGUAUUUCUAAACAAUGUGCUUAAGCUGCUAUGUUUCAUUUUUCUUUCUCAGUGAUUCUAAUUGACUCCUGACUGUGAAGGAAGAGAGUAUACUCAGUGAGCAUCACUCCUUUCCCCCUCUACCCACAC